rnacentral:rRNA from 1 species
UACGGGGGGGGCAAGCGUUGUUCGGAAUUACUGGGCGUAAAGGGCGCGUAGGUGGCCAACUAAGUCAGACGUGAAAUCCCUCGGCUUAACCGGGGAACUGCGUCUGAUACUGGAUGGCUCGAGAUUGGGAGAGGGAUGCGGAAUUCCAGGUGUAGCGGUGAAAUGCGUAGAUAUCUGGAGGAACACCGGUGGCGAAGGCGGCAUCCUGGACCAACACUGACGCUGAGGAGCGAAAGCCAGGGGAGCAAACGGG